rnacentral:rRNA from 1 species
UACGUAGGGUGCGAGCGUUGUCCGGAAUUAUUGGGCGUAAAGAGCUCGUAGGCGGUCUGUCGCGUCGAUCGUGAAAACUUGGGGCUUAACCCUGAGCUUGCGGUCGAUACGGGCAUGACUGGAGUUCGGCAGGGGAGACUGGAAUUCCUGGUGUAGCGGUGAAAUGCGCAGAUAUCAGGAGGAACACCGGUGGCGAAGGCAGGUCUCUGGGCCAUUACUGACACUGAGAAGCGAAAGCAUGGGGAGCGAACAGG